GAUGAACGCUGGCGGCAGGCCUAACACAUGCAAGUCGAGGGAGAGGUUACCUUCUGGUCACCGAAACCGGCGCACGGGUGCGUAACGCGUAUACAAUCUUCCUUUCACAUAGGGAUAGCCGGACGGAAUUUGGCUUAAUACCUAAUUGUAUAUAAGAGCGGCAUCGUUUUUAUCUUAAAACUACGGUGGUUAAGGAUGAGUAUGCGUUCUAUUAGCUAGUUGUGGAGGUAACGGCUCCCCAAGGCGCCGUUAGAUAGUGGUUCUGAUGGUGAUGUCCACCACACUGGUACUGAGGUACGGACCAGAAUCCUACGGGACGCAGCAGUGAGGAAGACUGGACAAUGGUCGGAAGACUGAUCAAGCCAUGCCGCGUGAAGGAGGAAGGUCCUAGGGAUUGUAAACUGCUUUUGUAAGGGAAGAAUAAGGAGUACGCGUACUUUGAUGACGGUACCUAACGAAUAAGCAUCGGCUAACUCCGUG
rnacentral:rRNA from 1 species